AUGAAUUGCCUAAGUUGGAACUGCCGGGGAGGGGGGAACACCCGGACAGUUCGUGAACUAGUGACGUUAUGUAAGUCGCGUUCCCCCAUGGUUGUGUUUUUGUGUGAGACCAGACAAAAGGAGGAAAAGAUGAAGAGGAUCCGAGCCAAGUUGGGGCUCAAAGGGUUUUGUGGUGUGGACAGCAAUGGUCUUAGUGGUGGAUUGGCUCUCUUUUGGAGGGAA
rnacentral:rRNA from 1 species